UUUUGACAGGCAGAGUGGACAGAGAGAGAGAGACAGAGAGAAAGGUCUUCUCUGUUCACCCUCCAACGGCCGCUAUGGCCAGUGCACCGCGCUGAUCCGAAGCCAGGAGCCAGGUACUUUUCCUGGUCUCCCAUGGGGUGCAGGGCCCAAGCACUUGGGCCAUCCUCCACUGCACUCCCUGGCCACAGCAGAGAGCUGGCCUGGAAGAGGGGCAACCGGGACAGAAUCCGGCGCCCCGACCGGGACUAGAACCCGGUGUGCCGGCGCCGCAAGGCAGAGGAUUAGCCUAGUGAGCCGCGGCGCCGGCCCCCAAUUUCUUCACACAUUGCUAAACUUGCCUUUUUCUGUUUAAACUAUAACCAGUGAGUGUCAUGAGUAUCUCACUGUGGUCCUGGGUUUGCAUUUUCCCCGUGACACUCAGCAUCUCCUCACGUGCUUCCUGGCCACUUGGAUGUCUUUGGAGAAAUGUCUCUUCAGCUCCUUUGCCCGUCUUCCAACCAGGCUGCCCUUCGCUGAGUUUUAAAGCUCUUUACAUAUAUACUCUGAGUAUCACCAGAUCCUCCUCAGACCGUUCUGUGGGUGGUUUUCCCAGGUUUUUGGAUAGUAUGCGCUGUGGUUGUUCAGUCCUCUUACAGAUUUGAAGACUCUCAAAAUAAAAAAAGGAAAAUACGUAUUGCUUCCAGGGCUGGAUUGCAGUGCAGCGGGUCACGCAGCAUCCUGUACUGAAGCGCGGGUUUGAGUUCUGGCUGCUCUGCUUUGGAUCCAACUCAGAGCAGCAGAAGAUGGCCCAAGCACUGGUCCUCUGUCUCACAUGGGGGGCCAUUUGGGGAGUGAACCACUGAAUGGACGAUCUCUCUGCCUUUCUAAGUACACAGAUCUUAGGAACAACUAUACAUGGAUUCCAAGGUGUUUUUUACACAUCUUGGGGUUGGUGCUGUGGCACAGGAGGCUGAGCCUCUGUCGGUAGCUCCAGUUCCAGUCCCAGCUGCCCCCUUCUGAUCCACGUACGCCCAGGGAGGCAUGAGGGUGAACGUACCUCAGGGCCUGGCUCGUGACCACCAGGUGCGACUCCGUCGUGCGGAAGAUGUUGUGAAUGGCGCGGGCGGCCAGGACUUGUCUCAUGGCCUCGUAAAUCACUGCGGUCGUGCUGUCUGUCUUAACUGCCAUUGAGCCCAAGAACCGAACUACGAACAUCUGCUGCAGCAGGGAAUCUGCAAGAGAAGAGGUUCAGCUCAGGGUCACGUCCGCUUCCAGCCCGCGGCGGCGGCCAAGAGCCAGGGGCGCGGGGCCCGGCUGGCUCCCCGCGGAGGCCUUCCUACCCAGGGUCUCAGCGCUCCGACCCGGGAGCCCGACGCUGCCACUUCUCCAAAUGUUCCGCCUGCAUCCUGUCGCUGUGGUGGAAACCGCCUCAUAGAAGCCGAGUUACUGGUACCACCCAGUGUCCUCUUGGCACUGCACGUGGUGACCGUGGACACGCUCACCUUUCCUUUGAAAGUGCGCGUGACCCAGCAGGUAGCAGGGAAUAAACCGCGUCGGCCCACGGGUGCUGUCCUCUUAUGGAAGAUCACUGACUUGCAGGAAACAAAGGCGCGGUGUUUUCACUCAAUUCCAGUGCCAUGGUCACGACUGAAGGCAGCUGGCAUCAACUGGUGGAGAGCCCGAGAGCGCAAGCCACAGCCGUUUGCUUGUGGCGUGCACUGAGCUGUCGCGGCGAGCGCCACUGGGAGGUCGGGAAGACGUGGACAAGGCCGCAGCUGCUGCUGUGACAUCAGUCAUUCCCCAACACUGCCAACCGAGAAGCCUCCCUUUUUCUACUCUUACCCCGAAACACCUCCAAGCUUAAACACAGUGCAGGAAACUGAGCGGUACACACUCUAAAUGGACACUCAUGCACGUCUCUGUACGGACGGUUUACGGUACAAACUGAAAAGUAGGCUAGAUCCAAGGGGAGAGCGCCAGACGCGAGGCCCAGCCUGUAAUAUCGCACACACAGUCUCCCCAACAGAACGGCAACUCUCAAGUCCUGCUUCCGGUGCAGCCUCGUUCCCAGGCACCCUCAGCUCCCAGCGUGAGGCCACGUUACCGUGAGGUCUCCCUAGCACUCGCAGUGACUAAAAUCCCCGCCUUGGCUCAGCAUCUGCUCAGCUGAGUGGAAGGUUAGGGUCAGCCCCACCGGGUGUGUUCUCAAGUACACUCUAAGAGUGGAAACCCACAAGAUAAAAACAGGACUCUAAAGAGACUAAUUUAUCUGGCAGGUGCUAUGGCACAGACCAAGUUGCCACCUGUGACAAACCACACCCCACAGUGGAACACCAAUUGAGUCCUCGCUACUCUGCUGUCAACCAACUUCCUGCUAAUGCACCUGGUGGCAGGGGCAGCAGAUGGUGGCCCAAGUACUUAGGUCCCUGCCACCCACAUGGGAGACCCAGAUGGAGCUCCAGGGUCCUGGCUGUGGCCUGGCCCAGCCCCAGCUGCUGCAGGUUACUUGGGGAGUGAAUCAGCGAUGAACGACAGAGGCUCCUCUCUCCCUCUGUCACUCUGCCUUUCAGGUAAAUAAACUUCAGUCUUUUAAAAAUGUAUCAUUUAUUCAGGUCACCUUACAAUUCAAGAAUGAAUUAUUUAUCCUUAUGGUUUCUGAAAUAAAAUAACCAAGGUUAGACUUCGAGGUGACCUUUUUUAACAAGAAUGUGCUAUUUUGCAGCAUUUCUGUGCAGGAGCUACAGAUGGGUGCUGCAACAGCUGAGCAUUGUGACACAGGUUAAGCUGCCACCUGCGACACCGGCAUCCCAUAUGGGCACCAGUUCAUGUCCCAGCUGCUCCACUUCUGAUCUAACUCCCUUGUAGCCUGGGAAAGCAGCAGAAGGUACUGCCACCCAUGUGGGAGACCCGGAUGAAGCUUGUGGCUCCUGGCGUUGGCCUGGCUCAGCCCUGGCCAUUGUGGCCAUCUGGGGAGUGAACCAGUGGAUGGAAAAUAUCCCCCACCCCAGUAAUAUGGACUUUCAAAAAAAAAAAAUCUUAAAAAAAAAAAAAAGGCUGAAAUCUUCAUACUGCCCCUCAGUUUUUAAGCAAGACUGGCCCUUACCACCCAUGUCCUGCUAGACUUACAAUUUUGAUUCAUACUCUACAUCAGAGCUCACUCAAACAUGACUUCCCAGCUCACGUCAGAGGCCUUGUCAGGUCAGGCAGUGUGGCACAGUGGGUAACGCCGCCGCUUAGGACAGUCCACAUCCCACACUGGAGCGCCAGUCUGAGUCCCAACCCCUUUCCUUCCAAUCUAGCUCCCCGUCAAUACAAACCCUGAGCAGCUGAUGGCUCAAGUACUGAGUUCUUUUUUUUAUUUUUUUUAUUUUUUUUAUUUUUGACAGGCAGAGUGGACAGUGAGAGAGAGAGACAGAGAGAGAAAGGUCUUCCUUUGCCAUUGGUUCACCCUCCAAUGGCCGCCGCUGCAGCCGGCGCACCGCGCUGAUCCGAUGGCAGGAGCCAGGAUCCAGGUGCUUCUCCUGGUCUCCCAUGGGGUACAGGGCCCAAGCACUUGGGCCAUCCUCCACUGCACUCCCGGGCCAUAGCAGAGAGCUGGACUGGAAGAGGGGCAACCGGGACAGAAUCCGGCGCCCCGACCGGGACUAGAACCCGGUGUGCCGGCGCCGGCCUCAAGUACUGAGUUCUGACCACCUGUGCGGGAGGCCGGGCCAGAGUUCCAGGCUGCUAGCUUCAACCAGUGGAUAGAAGGUUUCUCUGCCUCCCGCCACCCUCCCUCUACCCAGAAGCCCUCUGCCUUUCAAAGGAAUAAAUACUCUGGAGCAACUACUGAAAAUAAAAAUGGACCUUGUCAUUGUGUACAGAGGAGAGUAAGCACAUCCAACCAGCCACGCACCUUCCGCUUCUGGAAAUGAUCCGUCCUCAGUUUCCCCGAAAGGAUUGACCCGCCUAGGGGAGGAGCCAGAGUUAGAGAAUCCUGACAGCGCCCGCAGUGUGGGUGGGCCACAGCCACAUCAAGUUCACUUUCUUUCCUCCCAGAGAACCUCCCUUCGCCCAUACCUGCUCCCUCUGUUCUGAUCAAGGAAUUCCGUAGCGGGGAGGACAAUGUCAAACUGGAUGGGUGUCCCGGGGGCUAUCAGCUCCUCCGUGUCAGUUACACCGACUGUUGCGUUGGGAAUGAGCCUGGCACUUUCCAUCUCUGAAUUGGUCAGGUUCUGGCUGGCGUACAAGACA